rnacentral:rRNA from 1 species
UACGUAGGGUGCGAGCGUUAAUCGGAAUUACUGGGCGUAAAGUGUGCGCAGGCGGCAGAGCAAGUCGAGUGUGAAAGCCCCGGGCUUAACUUGGGAAUUGCGCUCGAAACUACUAUGCUGGAGUGUGGCAGAGGAAGGUGGAAUUCCACGUGUAGCGGUGAAAUGCGUAGAGAUGUGGAGGAACACCAAUGGCGAAGGCAGCCUUCUGGGCCAACACUGACGCUCAUGCACGAAAGCGUGGGGAGCAAACAGG